ACUGCGGGCGCGCCGCGGAACGUGGUCCGCUCCAGGCGGAUCCGCCGGUAGUUCAGGCCCUUCUCGCGGUCC
rnacentral:tRNA from 1 species